ensembl:ncRNA T28C12.9 ncRNA
AAAAAUGAAAAAUUAAUCGUCUUCUUAAUCUAAUACAGUCAUUAGGAUCAUAAUACGAAGGUGGCAAUAAUUGGCCGAAACGCAAACAGCGGCUGCGGAAAAGGAGCGAGAGACUGUGCCAAUCGGUUUGUUUCCGGUGAUAUAGGCGUCAACUGGUCUUUGGGGUGCUCUGGGCUCCGCGAGCAGCUCACCGUAUCAAAAUGUGUGAGUGCCCUUCACGCG